rnacentral:lncRNA from 1 species
GCUAGUUCAGAAUAUACAGAUAUGUUAGGCAGCCACGCGGCCCACGCCACAAGCUCGAAGUUAUUUCAAUGCAACCUGCUUUUGAAAAACUGAUAGUCUAGGCUUGCUUUUGGCAUGAACUCAAAUACCAAAAGCAGGUGGUCACCCUCGUCACAGUGAACAAUAAAUUUAACCGAGCUUCAAUGACAAAGUUGCGGCGAAAAAUUCACUUCCAUAUUUCCAUCUGCAAAACUUCGGGUGGAUACCAAAUCAGCUUAUUGGAAAGUACAUCACAAUGAAGUCGCAAGACUCUCAAGUACACGCUGGCGUUCCAUUGGGAUUCCACUUGAUGGCAAACUGUCAUUUCCAAGCCUGGCUUCUUUAGCAUUGAGUGUGAUCAUUAAUCUAUCCAUCGAAAAUAGGACCAAGGCCAGGCCUCCUCUCAGUCAGUUGAGUUAGAGAGAGAUGCUCUCAACCUAGUGAGAGAAAUUCCCACUUUGGUGCUCACUUGUUUCUGGAAUUUUUCUGGUGUUUCCACUAGCUUUAUUCUGAUUUUAACUUCUUUUUGUUGAAAUUGGAUGAAACAUUCUGGAUUGUACAUCUUUGGUGCUGUUGUUGUAAGGUAAUUUUUCAAUUCUUGUGAUUUACGAGUUUUCUUCAUCCUAGCCAGGUCUUCUUUGUCUCAGCUUGGGUGAGUUUCUGGUAUGUUGCUCAGUUUAGAGUUCUUUUGGUCUUCUUGGUCUGGGUUUGGUUGUUUCGAACAGCUUGUUACUGGAUUGUGGUUGUACCUUCGACUGCCUCUUAUUGCAAGAAACAGGUUUUAUUAAUUCUGGGUUCGGUUCUUGCUGUUGCUUCUUACCUGGUUGUUUCGGUUCUGGUCAGUUCCUGUUGCUAUCCAGUUUUCCUUUGCUUGGUUGGGUGUUGUUGUUCCUCAGUUUGGUGUUUAUCUAGCUGUUGGUUCAGUAGGUUACUUGGUUUCUCUGUUCAGUUUGCAUUCUGUCGGGUUUCCUGUUUUGUUUUGGCCGGUUUGGUGUUCUUCAUGGUUCAUGGUGUUCUUGGUUCCUUUGUAUCUACUGUGUACUAUUGGUUCCCUCUGCUUGUGUAUGUAUUUUCUACAUGUCACAUGGGAUUGGUUUUUUGAAUUUGGUCUGACUUUCCUCCCCCCCUUUUCUGCCUCGGUCAGAGUUUAUUCCUUGGGUGCAGCUUCUAGCUUCUGAUUUUGGGUACUUGGAUUGACAUAUUUCAGUGGGUUGGUGGCUGGUCUUAUUUUUGACCCGUUUUCUGCUCUUAUUGGGUCGGGUUGGUGGACUUAUCCUUCUUGGGCCGAAUUUUCUGUUGGUGGGUCUCGGUUGGUCCUUUUGUUGUGGGCCUGGACGUUCUUGGUUUGGGCCUUCCUGUGGGCAUUUUCUUCAUCUUUUUUCUAGGCCUUUAUUUCUUUUGGGCUGUCUAUUGUUGGGCUGCUUGGGCUUUGUGCUUGGUUGUGCUGGCCCAUUCUUGUUUUGGGCCAUUUUUUCCUGCUUGGCUGGGCCUGUCCCUCCACUUCUUGAGCCUACUUCUUGGGCCGACUCCUUGGGCCCCUUUUGGCUUAACAUGGGCAAACACAAAAUUGUUUUGAGGAAAAGAUUUAGGCCUGGUCCGAUUAAACCCAUGGCUAACCAACGGGCUGCUUCGGAUUCUCUUUCUAUUCAGCAUGUUUCUGCCGCUUCUCUUGAUGCUAGACCUGUUUUGCCCCUUGUUGAUGGGAAGAGUAAGGUUAGUAUUCCUUCUCCUAGUGUUUCUUUAACACUUGGUGAUCAUGACACGGAUACGGGGUGUUCGGAUUAUGAGGUUAUUUCUGAAAACAAAAAUGCUAAUGUUGGUGGAAGUGAUCCUAUGAAGAAUAUUAAAGCACCUUGGGUAAACCUUUUUAAGGAUAAUAGGAAACUUGAUGAGAAUAUUAAGUUGAUGGCUUUUCACUCAUCAUCGGAGGAAGUAAUUUUGGAUGAUACGGAUGAGGAUAACUUAGAAAAUACAUGGGGGUAUGGACUUGUUGGAUACUUUGCCGGAAGUUUUCCCGGGAAAGUAGCAUUGUUGCAAUUGUGUGACUCAUGGAAAGUGAGCUAUAAGUAUUUUGUGCAUUCAAGUGGAUGGCUUGUUUUCAAAUUUGAUUCGGAGGUUGCGAGAUUGAGUGUGUUACACGGGGGCCCCUACUUGGUGUAUGGGAGACCACUCAUGCUCAAAAUCAUGUCGCAAUAUUUUGAUUUUGACGACAAGGAUGUGAGCACGAUGCCUGUAUGGAUUAAUCUUCCGGGGUUACCCUUGGAAUUUUGGAACACCACAUCCUUGGGGAAAAUUGUGACUAAGGUGGGUAAGUCUAUAUCCACCGACAAGGUCACGGCUUCAAAGGAGCGUUUAUCUUAUGCUAGAGCUCUUGUUGAAGUGGAUGCAUCCGUUGAGCUCGUUAAAUUUGUCAAGAUUAGGCUCCCAAAUGGUACUCUACGCGAGCAAGAGAUUGUGUAUGAGCAUGAACCGCAAUUCUGUGGAUCAUGUAAAGUUUUUGGGCACACGUUAAACAGUUGUAACCUUUAAAAGAAGCCUCCCCCGGUGAUUGUUGGAAAGAAGAAGGAUGGGAAGACACUUAAUUCUGCCCCUCAGGCUGGGAUUUCGAUUAUUUGACAGAAUGACAUUGCUGGAACGUCUUAAACCCAACAGAAUUUCAGCCCCUCAGAUCGACCAGAACAGGCUCCAAUUAUGGAAAAUUUUAGUGACAUUCCGGGGGUUAAAAUUGGUGAAAAAGGGGCAGAAACUGAUGUAGUUAAUCCUCCUUUUGUUGAGGUUAGAAACAGGAAGAAAGGUGUUGUCCAUAACAACAAAUCUGUUGUGAAUAACCCCCCCUUGCUGCUGAAAAAUGACAAUGUCCAGCCCACUAAGGGGCCGGCUGUUUUGGAGGGUGGAAAUGCUAUGUCUACGCUGGUUCCAAACUCGAAAGAGAAGCUAAAAGCUAAAGUAGAUGAUGAUGGGAAGUUGGCCAAAAAAUCUGGUAAGAAGAAGGGCAUUGCCCUCCCUUCAUCAAUAUGAAGAUUGCCUUGUGGAAUAUUAGGGGCUCUAACCCGCCCCUCAAACACAAUGGGGAUAAAGAUUUGAUGAGACGUAAUGACAUUGACGUCAUGGGGAUUUUGGAAACAAAAUUGGAUGACUUGAAGCUUUCGAGAGUCAUGAGAAAUAAAUUUGGUGGCUUCAACUUUGCUAAUAAUUUUGCCUAUCAUGAUGCGGGGCAGAUUUUGAUUCUAUGGGAUUUCUUGAAGGUUGAUUUGGAUGUGUUGGAGGCUACGGCACAACUUAUUCAUUGCUCUAUUACUUGCAAGGUAACUUCGCAUACCUUCUUUGUUAGUUUUGUCUAUGCAUUCAAUACUAUUGUGCCUCGUAGGCCCCUUUGGCAUGAUCUUGAAGUUUUUGGCCUAAAUUGCUCUUCGCCAUGGUUAGUUCUUGGGGAUUUCAACAAUGUGCUUAACUUUGAUGAAAAGAGUAAUGGGGCCGAUGUCACGCCUUAUGAGAUUAAAGAUUUUGAUAUGUGUUGCCAAAAUAUUGGACUUUCGGAUUUGAGAUCGAUUGGGUGAUUCUUCACUUGGAAUAAUAAUUCCGUUUGGAGUAAACUUGAUCGUGCUAUGGUAAAUGACGCUUGGAUGCUUGAGAGUUUUCAUAGUUUUGCUAACUUCCUCCCCUCGGGUUGCCUUUCCGAUCACUCCCCUUGUAUUGUCACUUUGUUUGGGAAAGUAGAUAGAAAGAGAAGGCCAUUUAAAUUCUUCAACAUGUGGACUCUGCAUGAGGAGUUCCUUGAUUUGGUAUCUCUUGGUUGGAGUUAAGUUUUUGUUGGCACCAAGCAAUACUCUCUUUGCAAGAAACUUCAUAGCCUCAAAAGAUUGCUUAAGAAAAUGAAUGACAAACAUUUUGCUCACAUUUCCUCUAGAGCCGAAAGUGCUUCCAAUAGACUCGAUUCGGCUCAUGUUGAAUUGCACAAUGACCGAGACAAUCUUCAUCUUAAAUGUGAAGUUGUUCAUUUGAGAAAAGAGGCUUCCACUCUUUGGGAAGCGGAAAGGAGUUUCUAUUAUCAAAAAGCAAAGUGUGUGCAUUUGAAGAAUAGUGACAAAUGUACCAAGUAUUUUCAUUCUUUGGCCAAGAGGAAUGUCAAGAGGAAUUUCAUCCCGGCUAUACUUAAGAAAGACGAAUUUUACUCUACCUCUCUUGAGGAGGUUGGCACCGAAUUCACACAUUUCUAUAGUGAAUUAUUGGGGAGAAAAAAUGUUGGACAGCAUGUUAGAGUGGAUGUUCUUAGCAACGGACCGAUGUUGUCGGAGGAGAAUGCUUGUUUACUUGUUGGGGAUAUUACGAGGCAAGAGAUCAAAGAAGCUCUUUUUAGCAUCGGGGAUGAUAAAGCCCCGGCGCCGGAUAGAUUCACUUCUUGCUUCUUCAAAAAAUCAUGGGACAUCGUUGGUAAUGAUUUCAUGGAUGCUAUAGAGGAAUUCUUUGUUUCGAGAUCUCUUCUCAAGCAAAUUAAUCACACCAUUUUAGCUUUGGUACCUAAGGGUACUCAUUCUUCUUCGGUGGGGGAUUAUAGGCCUAUUGCAUGUUGCAACGUUUUUUACAAGGUAAUCACUGAGAUACUUGCCUCUCGGUUGAAGCCUAUGGUUGACUCUAUUGUUGACCAAGCUCAAUCCGCAUUUGUUGAGGGUCAGAGUAUGAUUGAAAAUAUUCACUUGACACAAGAACUUUUGAGACAAUAUAACCGUAAGAGGGUUGCUCCACGGUGCCUCCUCAAAAUCGACCUUACUAGGCCUUUGAUUCGAUGAAUUGGGAGUUUUUUGUAUGUGUUCUUGAAGGGUUGGGUUUUCCUAAUAUCUUUGUUGAUUGGAUUAUGGAAUGUGUGACUUCUCCAUCUUAUUCUAUAGCGAUAAAUGGUGGCCUUCAUGGGUUUUUCAAGGGCAAAAGAGAUCUUCGGCAAGGUGAUCCACUCUCCCCUUACUUGUUUAUUCUUUGCCUUGAAUACCUAUCUAGAUUGCUAAAGGUGGCUACUUCGAAUAGUAAUUUCAAUUUUCACCCCAAGUGUGCUCAAUUGAAGAUCACACACUUGGCUUUUGCGGAUGACUUGAUAUUAUUUGCUAGAGGGGAUGUCAUGUCUUUGGAUAUUUUAUUGAAUUGCCUUUCGGAUUUUGGAGGGAUGUCGGGAUUGAAUAUAAAUGUUGGAAAAUCUUGCAUCUACACUGCGGGUAUUCAUCGUAAAGAUUUGGAGGAUAUUCUAGCUCUCACAAAUCUCCCCAUUGGUUCCAUGCCGUUUAGGUACUUGGGCAUUCCACUUGCGGCGGAAAAAUUGAAAGUCGAUUCUUAUGAUGUGCUCACAAAUAAAAUCUCAUCUUAUAUUAGUUCUUGGUCGACUUCCUCUCUAUCAUAUGCGGGUAGGGCUGAGUUUGUGCGAACCGUGCUUCAAGGUGUGGAAUGUUUUUGGCUUUCUAUCAUCCCUAUCCCGGCUACGAUAACUUCUAAAAUCAUUAGUCUUUGUCGUAGUUUCCUUUGGGGGGGAAGGGGGGUAAGAAACCUUUGGUUGCUUGGAACACUAUUUGCCUCCCUAAGGUUGAGGGGGGCUCGAUUUUACGGACUUGAAAUGUUGGAAUUCAGCACUCCUUUCUAAAACACUUUGGAAUAUCCAUUGUAAGAAGGACUCACUUUGGAUUAAAUGGAUCAAUGAAGUCUACCUUCAAGGGACAUAUUUUUGGGUGUAUAGCGUGAAGAAACAAGACUCCCCACUCAUUAAGAAGCUAGUUGACAUCCGGGACAGCAUUAUUGCUAGCCAAAGUGACGAGAUUUCAGCAUUGGACAGAUUGUGUAGCUGAACAGAUUUUGGAAUUUUCUCUACUUCAGCAGCUUAUGACUACUUCAGGCCAAAGGAGGGACUUCUUCUCUGGUCCAGAACGGUUUGGGAUGGUUCCAUCACUCCCAAACACGCGUUUAUUUUAUGGUUAGCUGCCCAUUGUAAGCUCCAGACGAGGGACAAGCUAUUGCACUUAGAGAUGGACCGAAUCUGCCCACUGUGUGAGGUGCUGGACGAAUCUGUCCAGCACUUGUUUUUUCGAUGCCGAGUCACUAACGAAGUAUGGAAACAGAUCAGAUUUUGGUUGGGUAUUAGGCGUUCCAUGUCUACUUUGCCGAGCUCUUUUAAAUGGUUGAAAAAAGAAGUGCGGGGGAAGAGUUGGCCGAGCCGUGCUAAACGAAUUGCUUUUGCUACUACUCUCUACUACAUUUGGAUGGCUAGGAAUUGUUGUGUUUUUUAUGGUACAAAAGUGCAAGUUGAAUCCAUUGUUAGGAAAAUCAAAACACACGUAUACAAAGCUAUGUUCGUUUUGUAUCCGAAUGUUUUGAUUCUCUUUGAUUCUCUUGCUAAUGGGGUUUAUUAGUGUUUUGAUCAUCUUGUAUCUUUUUGCCACGGGUAUGCCUUGUGGUAUUGUUUUGUUCUUUCAUGUGAUCACCCGGUGUACUUGUAUAUGGUUUUUGAUCUAUAGAAAUUCACAUUUACCGAUCAAAAAAAAAAAAGACCAGGCCUCCUUAUCUAAAAUGCUGUCAGCUCAAAAAUUUAUGGUUGCGUUCUUUAUUUCUUCGAAUGAAAUGGGCAUAGCAUUAGGCAUCUGCAGACUGCAAUAUUUCAACUAGGAAGACUCACCACUGCUAUCUCUACUAUAAAACGGAACGCUAGGGCCGGAAACGCAGAAGGAUGGUUGGAUUUACUGAGAAUUCUUGAAGAAUAUGAAGUUUUACAAGAAAAUGGGGGAAAAGAUGCAAGGUUGUUUCAUAUUAACUUAUACAAAUUUCAAAUGACAGCAACAUACAAAUGAAUUUAUGAGGUUGACGUGCAUAAACCAUAAAAAGUCAUACUUAGCCUCCAAUUGGUAGCAAUUUUUCGCUCAAAAAAAUUAAUUUUUUUACGAUUAUUUCACUAUUACAACUAUCAUUUCUGACUUCUUCACUCACAAAUAGGACUCAAUUUUCUCUCUAACUAUCAAAAAAUUAAUUCUCACAAUCGUUACCAAACAGACCCGUAAUAUUUCUAUGCAUAUCCAUCUAGUAAAAGAUUAACAGGAUCACCUCUCAAAAGAGAUGUGGCCGCCAAAGAAUCAAAUGAGCAUAAACACAAUGUUUGACAUAUAGGAUCACCAUUUUAUCAUCAAGAACAUCUAGUGUUCACUAGGACUGCUUUUAUACUCAGAAGGGAAAUAUAUCUGGUCCAAAAUCCAAGCAACUUUUUACAUAUUUUUUUCAAACACUAAAAGAGUAAUGUCAUCUCCAAAAUCCAAGCAACUUUUUACAUAUUUUUUUCAAACACUAAAAGAGUAAUGUCA